rnacentral:rRNA from 1 species
CACUUCUAAGGAAGGCAGCAGGCGCGCAAAUUACCCAAUCCUGACUCAGGGAGGUAGUGACAAGAAAUAACAAUAAACCGGCUUAUGCCGGUUUAAUUGGAAUGAGUACAAUUUAAACAUCUUAACGAGGAACAAUUGGAGGGCAAGUCUGGUGCCAGCAGCCGCGGUAAUUCCAGCUCCAAUAGCGUAUACUAAAGUUGUUGCAGUUAAAAAGCUCGUAGUUGGAUUUCUGUGGGGACGGAGCGGCCGGCCGCAACACGCGGUUCGAGCUAGCGCUUUCCCUACAUCCUGCCGCGAACCGUGCUACCAUUAGUUUGGUGGCGCCGGGGAUCGGCUCGAUUACUUUGAGAAAAAUAGAGUGUUCAAAGCAGGCCACACGCCUUGAAUAAGUUAGCAUGGAAUAAUAACUAAGGACUUCGGUUCUAUUUUGUUGGUGUUCGGGACUGAAGUAAUGAUUGAUAGGGACAGUUGGGGCGGUCUGUAUUCCAAAGCGAGAGGUGAAAUUCUUAGACCUUCGGAAGACAAACAGCUGCGAAAGCGUUCCGCAAGGAUGUUCCCUUUGAUCAAGAACGAAAGUUGGGGGAUCGAAGACGAUCAGAUACCGUCGUAGUCUCAACUAUAAACUAUACCAGCUAGGGAUCGGCCAACGUUAUUCUAUACCGACUUGGUCGGCACCUUAUGAGAAAUCAAAGCAUCUGGGUUCCGGGGGGAGUAUGGUCGCAAGGCUGAAACUUAAAGGAAUUGACGGAAGGGCACCACCAGCCGUGGAGCCUGUGGCUUAAUUUGACUCAACACGGGAAAACUUACCGGGUCCAGACAUAGUAAGGAUUGACAGAUUGAUAGCUCUUUCUUGAUUCUGUGGGUGGUGGUGCAUGGCCGUUCUUAGUUGGUGGAGUGAUUUGUCUGGUUAAUUCCGUUAACGAACGAGACCCCAGCCUGCUAAAUAGCGCGCGUGAGCUUUGCUCGCGGCGAGCUUCUUAGAGGGACUAUGAUGCGCGAUAGCACAUGGAAGUUUGGGGCAAUAACAGGUCUGUGAUGCCCUUAGAUGUUCUGGGCCGCACACGGGCUACACUGGCGCCUGCAACGAGCAUAUCAGCUGGCCCGAGAGGGUCUUGGCUAAUCUUUUGAACCGGCGCCGUGCUUGGGAUUGACCUUUGCAAUUGUUGGUCAUGCAACGAGGAAUGCCUUGUAAACGCGAGUCAUCAGCUCGCAUUGAAUACGUCCCUGCCCUUUGUACACACCGCCCGUCGCUCCUACCGAUGAAUGUUCCGAUGAAAUUUUCGGAGAGUGCCUGUGAACUUGGCUCUGCCUUGCGAACGGGAAGCUCAAAGUCACUUAAAUCUGAACAUUUCGAGG